GGACAUUGGUCUAGUGGUUAAGAUGUUCGGCUCGAAACCCAAUGGUCCCCGUUCUAUACUGCCGCCA